CACGUAGGCACCAAGCGUUAUCCGGAUUUAUUGGGCGUAAAGAGCUCGUAGGCGGUUCGGUAAGUCGGGUGUGAAAACUCUGGGCUCAACCCAGAGAGGCCACCCGAUACUGCUGUGACUAGAGUGCGGUAGGGGAGCGGGGGAAUUCCUGGUGUAGCGGUGAAAUGCGCAGAUAUCAGGAGGAACACCGGUGGCGAAGGCGGGUCUCUGGGCCGAUACUGACGCUGAGGAGCGAAAGCGUGGGGAGCGAACAGG
rnacentral:rRNA from 1 species